UCGGUAGGUGAACCUGCCGUUGGAUCAGU
rnacentral:rRNA from 1 species